rnacentral:rRNA from 1 species
GAUGAACGCUGGCGGCGUGCCUAAUACAUGCAAGUCGAACGAAGCUCUUGCGUUUGAGUUUUCGGACAAGAACGUAAGAUGACUUAGUGGCGGACGGGUGAGUAAUGCGUGAGUAACCUGCCCUUCAGAAGGGGACAACAGUUGGAAACGACUGCUAAUACCGUAUAAUGUACAAAGACCGCAUGGUUUUUGUACCAAAGAUUUAUCGCUGAAGGAUGGACUCGCGUCUGAUUAGUUAGUUGGUGAGGUAACGGCUCACCAAGACUGCGAUCAGUAGCCGGACUGAGAGGUCGAACGGCCACAUUGGGACUGAGAUACGGCCCAG